rnacentral:ncRNA from 40 species
UUUGUUCGUUCGGCUCGCGUUA